UACGAGAGGCCCAAACGUUAUUCGGAAUUACUGGGCUUAAAGAGUUCGUAGGCGGCGCAGAAAGUAGGGUGUGAAAGCCCUCGCUUAACCGAGGAAUUGCGCCCUAAACUACUGUGCUUGAGGAACCUAGAGGUGAGCAGAACAGAUGGUGGAGCGGUGAAAUGCGUUGAUAUCAUCUGGAAUACCGGAGGCGAAGGCGGCUCACUGGGGGUUUUCUGACGCUGAGGAACGAAAGCCAGGGUAGCGAACGGG
rnacentral:rRNA from 1 species